CGGACUGUAGAUCCAUCUC
rnacentral:miRNA from 1 species